CCCCUAGAUGUUCUGGGCCGCACGCGCGCUACACUGAACAGUUCAACAAGUCUUAACCUUGGCCGAUAGGUCUGGGUAAUCUUUGAACGCUGUUCGUGAUUGGGAUAGACCUUUGCAAUUAUGGGUCUUCAACGAGGAAUUCCCAGUAAGCGCAAGUCACAAGCUUGCGUUGAUUACGUCCCUGCCCUUUGUACACACCGCCCGUCGCUACUACCGAUUGAACGUUUUAGUGAGGUAUUUGGACUGGACCUUCGGAGGUUCGCGCCUCCGUUGCUGUUCGGGAAGACUCCCAAACUUGAGCGUUUAGAGGAAGUAAAAGUCGUANCA
rnacentral:rRNA from 1 species